rnacentral:sRNA from 1 species
AAAGUUACAUGACCAUCGGAGACCAUGGGGCCAGGAGGACUUCACAGGGCAGAGAGGUUGCCUUCAGCAGACUUUAGAGAUUGUUUAGUUCUCAUCUCUUUGUGUUUUACGGCCACACGGCGAGUGUGGCGUUGGCCUGGGCUCGCCUUUGCUGCCCAUCCCCAGCCGUGGGACAUUCCGGAACUGCGAGAUCUCUUCCCUGGAGGAAGCUCCUUGGAUUCAGGUGGAGGCUUUAGACUCUGGUUGUAUGGCUCGACACUCAACAUUGACCUGUUUCCGGCGCUCAUGGUGGAGGACCUGGUGCCAGGCAGCCGGCUGGGCCCCACCCUGAUGUGUCUUCUCAGCACACAGUUCAAGCGCCUGCGAGAUGGGGACAGGUUGUGGUAUGAGAACCCCGGGGUGUUCUCCCCGGCCCAGCUGACUCAGAUCAAGCAGACGUCGCUGGCCAGGAUCCUAUGCGACGACGCAGACAACAUCACCCGGGUGCAGAGCGACGUGUUCAGGGUGGUGGAGUUCCCUCACGGCUACGGCAGCUGUGACGAGAUCCCCAGGGUGGACCUCC